rnacentral:misc_RNA from 1 species
GAUGAAGAACGCAGCGAAAUGCGAUAAGUAAUGUGAAUUGCAGAAUUCAGUGAAUCAUCGAAUCUUUGAACGCACAUUGUGCCCGCCAGUAUUCUGGCGGGCAUGCCUGUCUGAGCGUCAUUUCAACCCUCAAGCAACUUCUGCUUGGUGUUGGGGAUCGGCCGUCAAACGCCGCCCCCGAAAUCUAUUGGCGAUCUCGCUGUAGCUUCCUAUGCGUAGUAGUAACAUCUCGCAUCUGGAGAGCGGCGCGGUCAUGCCGUAAAACACCCAACUUCUCAGGUUGACCUCAGAUCAGGUAGGAAUACCCGCUGAACUUAAGCAUAUCAAUAAGCGGAGGA